rnacentral:rRNA from 1 species
UACGUAGGCAGCGAGCGUUGUUCGGAGUUACUGGGCGUAAAGCGCGCGUAGGCUGCCAGAUAAGUCCGGUGUGAAAGUCAAAGGCUCAACCUUUGAAUGCCGCUGGAAACUGUCUGGCUAGAGUCCGGAAGGGGCGAGUGGAACUCCUGGUGUAGCGGUGAAAUGCGCAGAUAUCAGGAAGAACACCAAUGGCGAAGGCAGCUCGCUAGGACGGUACUGACGCUGAGGCGCGAAAGCGUGGGGGAGCAAACAGG